rnacentral:lncRNA from 1 species
AACUCUAAUAGAAUAUUAACUAAACUCUAAUUAAACUAUAACAAUGAUAAGUAAGAUUUAAUCAAUUCAAAAAAACCUCAAAAUAGUUACAAAAAAAUAAUAAGAAAUCUUAAAGAAAUAUUAAAAUGAUCACAAAUAUAUCUCAAAUAUAUUUUAAUUCAAUCUUAAUUUAAUCCUAAUUAAAAUAUUAUUAGACUUCAUUCAAAUUUUAGGCCAGAAACUAACUAAAUCUUAAAUUCUAAAUAAAUCUUAAUCAAAUUCUAAAUCCUAAAUCAAAUCCUAAUCCUAAAUCCUA